AUUGAACGCUGGCGGCAUGCUUUACACAUGCAAGUCGGACGGCAGCACAGAGAAGCCUGCUUCUUGGGUGGCGAGUGGCGAACGGGUGAGUAAUAUAUCGGAACGUACCGGGCAGUGGGGGAUAACUAAUCGAAAGAUUAGCUAAUACCGCAUAUCUUCUGAGGAAGAAAGCAGGGGACCAUUUGGCCUUGCGCUGUUUGAGCGGCCGAUAUCUGAUUAGCUAGUUGGUGGGGUAAAGGCCUACCAAGGCGACGAUCAGUAGCGGGUCUGAGAGGAUGAUCCGCCACACUGGGACUGAGACACGGCCCAGACUCCUACGGGAGGCAGCAGUGGGGAAUUUUGGACAAUGGGCGCAAGCCUGAUCCAGCCAUGCCGCGUGUCUGAAGAAGGCCUUCGGGUUGUAAAGGACUUUUGUCAGGGAAGAAAAGGGCGGGGUUAAUACCCCUG
rnacentral:rRNA from 1 species